rnacentral:rRNA from 1 species
GUGGGGAAUAUUGGACAAUGGGGGGAACCCUGAUCCAGCCAUGCCGCGUGUGUGAAGAAGGCCUUUUUGUUGUAAAGCACUUUAAGCGAGGAGGAGGCUACCGAGAUUAAUACUCUUGGAUAGUGGACGUUACUCGCAGAAUAAGCACCGGCUAACUCUGUGCCAGCAGCCGCGGUAAUACAGAGGGUGCAAGCGUUAAUCGGAUUUACUGGGCGUAAAGCGCGCGUAGGUGGCCAAUUAAGUCAAAUGUGAAAUCCCCGAGCUUAACUUGGGAAUUGCAUUCGAUACUGGUUGGCUAGAGUAUGGGAGAGGAUGGUAGAAUUCCAGGUGUAGCGGUGAAAUGCGUAGAGAUCUGGAGGAAUACCGAUGGCGAAGGCAGCCAUCUGGCCUAAUACUGACACUGAGGUGCGAAAGCAUGGGGAGCAAACAGGAUUAGAUACCCUAGUAGUCC